rnacentral:rRNA from 1 species
CCUACGGGGGGCUGCAGUAAGGAAUAUUGGUCAAUGGAGGAAACUCUGAACCAGCCAUCCCGCGUGAAGGAUGAAGGGGCUCUGCCUUGUAAACUUCUUUUGUCUGGGGCGAAAAAGCUCGAUUUAUCGGGAACUGACGGUACCAGACGAAUAAGCACCGGCUAACUCCGUGCCAGCAGCCGCGGUAAUACGGAGGGUGCAGGCGUCAUUCGGAAUCACUGGGUUUUAGGUGUCUUAGUAAGUCAGUGGUGAAAGGCUGUGGCUUAACCAUGGAAUUGCCAUUGAUACUGCAGAGCUUGAAUGAGGUUGAGGUUGGCGGAAUGUGACAUGUAGCGGUGAAAUGCUUAGAUAUGUCAUGGAACACCGAUUGCGAAGGCAGCUGACUGGACCUAUAUUGACGCUGAGGCACGAAAGCGUGGGGAGCGAACAGGAUUAGAUACCCGGGUAGUC